rnacentral:lncRNA from 1 species
UGGCUGGGGUUAUUUUAUACCCAACACCAGUCCCCCUACUUUCGAGUUUGGAUUUCGAAUGAAUAAAGUAUAGAGAAAUUUUCACAACCGAAGUUGCCCCCCUUGAUUUUCGUACUCGAUUAUUUUUAGAUAUUUUGGCGUUUGGCGCGCUGGUGCUGGAGUCUUUUCAAAUCGAGGUGACUCAAAAAGAUUUUUUUGAAAUUCUUGCUGGAGCGUUGCUCUAGGUAUGGCGUAAUAAUGAU